GUUGAACGCUGGCGGCAUGCCUUACACAUGCAAGUCGAACGGCAGCACGGGUGCUUGCACCUGGUGGCGAGUGGCGAACGGGUGAGUAAUACAUCGGAACAUGUCCUGUAGUGGGGGAUAGCCCGGCGAAAGCCGGAUUAAUACCGCAUACGAUCUACGGAUGAAAGCGGGGGACCUUCGGGCCUCGCGCUAUAGGGUUGGCCGAUGGCUGAUUAGCUAGUUGGUGGGGUAAAGGCCUACCAAGGCGACGAUCAGUAGCUGGUCUGAGAGGACGACCAGCCACACUGGGACUGAGACACGGCCCAGACUCCUACGGGAGGCAGCAGUGGGGAAUUUUGGACAAUGGGCGAAAGCCUGAUCCAGCAAUGCCGCGUGUGUGAAGAAGGCCUUCGGGUUGUAAAGCACUUUUGUCCGGAAAGAAAUCCUUGGCCCUAAUACGGUCGGGGGAUGACGGUACCGGAAGAAUAAGCACCGGCUAACUACGUG
rnacentral:rRNA from 1 species